rnacentral:rRNA from 1 species
AUUAAACGCUGGCUGCAUGCCUAACACAUGCAAGUCGAGCGAGCGGCGCACUGGUGAGUAAUGUAUGGGGACUGCCCGAUAUAGGUGGAUAACUACUGGAAACGGUGGAUAAUACCGCAUAAUAUCGCAUAACCCCUAUGGGAUUAGCUAGUAGGUGGGGUAAAGACUCACCUAGGCGACGAUCUAUAGCUGGUCUGAGAGGUUUAUCAGCAAAACUGGGACUGAGACAAGGCCCGGACUCCUACGGAGGCAGCAGUGGAGAAUAUUGAACAAUGUGCGCAAGCCUGAUGAAGAGAUGCAGGGUGUAUGAAGAAGGCCUUAGGGUUGUAAAGUACUUUAAGCGGGGAGGCGUUAACUGCAGAAGAAGCACCGGCUAACUACGUGCCAGCAGCCGCGGUAAUAC